ACUAAAUAGAUACCCACGGUAGUCCACGCCCUAAACGAUGUCUACUAGUUGUUGGUGGAGUAAAAUCCAUGAGUAAACGCAGCUAAACGCGUGAAGUAGACCGCCUGGGGAGUACGGUCGCAAGAUUAAAAACUCAAAGGAAUUGACGGGGGCCCGCACAAGCGGUGGAUUAUGUGGAUUAAAUUCGAUGCAACGCGAAAAACCUUACCUGGCCUUGACAUGCCACUAACGAAGCAGAGAUGCAUUAGGUGCCCGUAAGGGAAGUGGACACAGGUGCUGCAUGGCUGUCGUCAGCUCGUGUCGUGAGAUGUUGGGUUAA
rnacentral:rRNA from 1 species